rnacentral:rRNA from 1 species
UGGGGAAUAUUGCACAAUGGGCGCAAGCCUGAUGCAGCGACGCCGCGUGGGGGGUGACGGCCUUCGGGUUGUAAACUCCUUUCGCUAGGGACGAAGCUUUUUGUGACGGUACCUAGAUAAGAAGCACCGGCUAACUACGUGCCAGCAGCCGCGGUAAUACGUAGGGUGCGAGCGUUGUCCGGAAUUACUGGGCGUAAAGGGCUCGUAGGUGGUUUGUCGCGUCGUCUGUGAAAUUCCGGGGCUUAACUCCGGGCGUGCAGGCGAUACGGGCAUAACUUGAGUACUGUAGGGGUAACUGGAAUUCCUGGUGUAGCGGUGAAAUUCGCAGAUAUCAGGAGGAACACCGAUGGCGAAGGCAGGUUACUGGGCAGUUACUGACGCUGAGGAGCGAAAGCAUGGGUAGCGAACAGG